CUUACCUGGAAAUCAAAGGAAACGAUUAUUAGGAAAAGUGAUUAAGUUGCACGAUUCGUUGUACGAUUUCAUUUAAAUUCAAAAGUAACAGGAGCAAAGUAUGUUGGAUUUUGUUCGAAAAGUGAGAGCAGAAACACGAUGAGCGACCAGGAAAGAGAAAAAGAAGGGUAACAUGUAGAAAGACAGAGAAAGAAGCAGAGAGAAGGACGCGGUCUAGAUGAAAGCAGCCCAAAAGGGAGGUCGCCGCCCUUCCAGGAACCCUUAUAAAACUUGGACCCGAUCUUCCUAACACGCACGCUAAAAUCUUUCCAUACACGCUUGCUCGAGGUUCUCUCAACAAAAUUCCCUCUUUGAUUAUUGAAAUAAAAUAUUCUGUAGUUAUACUUGUUAAUAAAGAAUGAAUUGAAAAUA